CCCGUCAUAGCUCAGUUGGUAGAGCAAGCGACUGUAGAUGUUCACGGAUAUCGCUGGGUCCCUGGUUCGAUUCCGGGUGACGGGA